GAGUGCGCAGCUCUAAUCCAGAAAUGCAGUUCCCAAUAUCACUGACGCUACUCCUCGUGCUCGUGGGCGUGGCCUUAGGCGUGCCCGGGCGUGUUCCGAUGAGAACCUCGUCCACCUGGGGCCCCAGAGACAGUACGUGCAUAUCGACCAUGUCGACUAUCUUUCUUUAACUCUCUCCUUCGUCCCAACAGUUCAGAAAUGGUGUAGACUCAACUUUGGACCGGCUUGGGGUGGCAGAGGAUGCUAAAAUCUUGACUUAAUCUUGAAUAGUGCUGAUCGCUCAUUUAUGAUUCAUAAUUGUUUGUUCCCUCAUUUUCUGAACCUUAAUAGAUGUUUCUUAAGGCAUUUUUUGUCACUGUUUCCAAGCAGAGAGCGGAAAAUAAUGAUUUCGUUCCUGUGGCUGCUUUUUGAUGGAACAUUUUCCAGGCAGCAGAGCGCAAAAACUUUUCCAUUGCCACACACGAGAAAGUUUUCCCUUGCAGUCGGAGAAUGCUCGCAAGUUGUUGCCACGCCCAGUUAUACUCUCAUUAUCUUCCUGGCAUAUAAGUCCCAAGUAACUCCCCUCCCAGCUAUGGCUACCCCUCCAUCAACUUCUCUCCUCCUCUCUCAUGUGUGUG
rnacentral:lncRNA from 1 species